rnacentral:lncRNA from 10 species
GGUGGAUGAGGUUGCAGGGCAGGAGAAGGCUGUCAUGAACAGUCCAUGCUUAAAGAACUUAAAGCUGCAUAGAGCUUCAAGGAGGGGAGGGAAGCCGCAAGGAACUUGACUGGGGAAGAGUGUGCACAGGAGAGCUGGGUGCAGAGGCUCUGAGAUUAGAAGCACUGGGGAUAGAGUCUUGCUUGCCACCCAGGCUGGAAUGCAGUGGCACAACUUCGGCUCAGUGCAGCCUCCACCUCCCGGGUUCAAGCAAUUCUCCUGCCUCGGCC